GACAGAGGUGCCAAGCGUUAGGCGGAAUCACUGGGCUUAAAGCGUGUGUAGGCGGGCGAUCAAGUACCUUGUGAAAUCCCACGGCUCAACCGUGGAACUGCUGGGUAUACUGGUUGUCUUGAGCCAGCUAGGGGCGAGCGGAACAGACGGUGGAGCGGUGAAAUGCGUAGAUAUUCGGAAGAACACCAGUGGCGAAGGCGACUCACUGGACACGUAUUGACGCUGAGGUGCGAAAGCGUGGGGAGCAAACAGG
rnacentral:rRNA from 1 species